rnacentral:rRNA from 1 species
CACGUAGGGGGCGAGCGUUGUCCGGAAUUAUUGGGCGUAAAGAGCUCGUAGGCGGCUUGUCGCGUCGACCGUGAAAACUUGGGGCUCAACCCCAAGCCUGCGGUCGGUACGGGCAGGCUAGAGUUCGGUAGGGGAGACUGGAAUUCCUGGUGUAGCGGUGAAAUGCGCAGAUAUCAGGAGGAACACCGGUGGCGAAGGCGGGUCUCUGGGCCGAUACUGACGCUGAGGAGCGAAAGCGUGGGGAGCAAACAGG